AACGACUACAUUAGAUACCCGCGUAGUCCCAGCCCUAAACGAUGCGCGCUAGGUGUAUCGGUGACCACGAGUCACCGAGGUGCCGAAGGGAAACCGUGAAACGUGCCGCCUGGGAAGUACGGUCGCAAGGCUGAAACUUAAGGAAUUGGCGGGGGAGCACCACAACGGGUGGAGCCUGCGGUUUAAUUGGACUCAACGCCGGGAAGCUCACCGGAUAAGACAGCGGAAUGAUUGCCGGGCUGAAGACCCUGCAUGACCAGCUG
rnacentral:rRNA from 1 species